AUUGAACGCUGGCGGCAGGCCUAACACAUGCAAGUCGAACGAGUGGCGGACGGGUGAGUAAUGUCUGGGAAACUGCCCGAUGGAGGGGGAUAACUACUGGAAACGGUAGCUAAUACCGCAUACCAUCGGAUGUGCCCAGAUGGGGUUAGCUUGUAGGUGAGGUAACGGCUCACCUAGGCGACGAUCCCUAGCUGGUGUGAGAGGAUGACCAGCCACACUGGAACUAGUACACGGUCCGAACUACUACGGACGGGCGCCGUGGGGAAUAUUGCACAAUGUGCGCAAGCCUGAUGCGUCCAUGCCGCGUGUAUGGAGAAGGCCUUCGGGUUGUAAAGUACUUUCAGCGGGGAGGCGUUACCCGCAGAAGAAGCACCGGCUAACUCCGGGCCAGCAGCCGCGGUAAUAC
rnacentral:rRNA from 1 species